CAUCAGUGAGACCAUAGACAGUUGAAUGAUACGGACGUAAAAAUGUUUUUAGAUGAAUAUGCUAAUUUUAUAUUAGAAAACUGAAAGAAUGGGAUGUCGUGUGGGGAUAUAGCAGCUGCGUUGGGUUCACAGUUUGGAAAGAUACGGGGGUUUUCUGAGAGGAGUGUGCGGAGGUGGUGUGCUGAGCAGGAACUUGUCAGGAGGAACUUCUGUCCUGACAGUCAACUUGAAGUUGAAGUCGCUGAAGGUAUUGCUGAGACUGGAUCGUCUUUCGGCCGAAAAAUGAUGACAGGCUAUCUAUCUGCUAAAGGGGUUAAAGCUUCUGAGGGCAGAGUGGGCAAAGUGUUGAGACGUGUUCAUCAACCCUACCACAUUGCAAGACAUCAGGGUGCCCGAAAUCUGAACCCCAUACCCUACAAUGCAGAAUACAUGGGGCACAAGCUACAUGUAGAUCAAAAUGAAAAGCUUGUUAUGUUUGGUGUGACCCAUGUAAUGGCUAUCGAUGGUUUCAGCAAGAAGAUUGUCAGUCACUCCACUAUGCCAAUAAAGAACAACGUCGUAAUUUCGUAACGUCGUAAAAAACCUGCUGUACUUUCUUAUGGACUAUGGGAUCAGGUCAGAGUUGACUGUGGGAAAGAGUUUUAUCUGGCAUUAUUCAUACAGGAAAAGCUGGCAGAACACAGACACAAUACUCAAAGGCAGCCUUACCUUCAGACUCCUUCUACAAGGGUGAUGUAACCAUGUGAUCGAGAGAAUGUGGUCGGAGGUGAAUGCCAGAGUCAACUACCCUUUGAAGACAGCUUUGGUAGAGCUGGUGGACCAAGAUGAACAGAGUAUGGAGGACAACACAUCAAAGUAUUGUGUGUCAAACCUGACAUGCCAAAUGGCUAGGAUUGGCAUUUCAAAAGUCACAGAGGCAUGGAAUGCACACAGGAUCCCAGGAAAGGGAAUACCAAAUGAACUGGCUAAAGAAGGGUGUCCUGCAAAACUUCUCGAGGACCUUCUGCCUGUUGGUUCUGUUGCAGCUGACCUGUAUCAGCAGGAAAUGGGAUCCGCAUUGAAAAGGGAAUCCGUUUUGGAUGUGAUCCUUUCCCCUCUGAAGAGGCCCAACAAUGGACUGAAACGGAGUUUGGUUCUCACUUUGACAUAUUAUCACUGUACGAAAAUGUAGUUCACCAUAACUAUGGCCCUUUUAAAGAUGCAGUUAUGUCUCUUAUUGAUUUCACCAGAAGGUGUGUGUGACCUGCAGUGGUCAAUAAAGCAGCAGUAUAAUUUCAAAAAUAAAAUUUAUUACAGAGGAAUCUGUAAAAGUGGUUUCAGUCCAUAACAAAAUAAAUUGCACUAACAAUGCAGUAACUCUGUUUACAAUGAAUACACAGCACUUACAAUUUUUGUUUCUUUGUAAAUUCUUUGUUUUAAAUGUAAUUGUCAUGUAAAGAAGUUGAGCUUUUGUAUAAAAAUCUAGCUUAUCAGAUCACAAUAAAGAAAAUAACAUCAGUUAA